rnacentral:rRNA from 1 species
UGGGGAAUAUUGCACAAUGGGCGGAAGCCUGAUGCAGCGACGCCGCGUGGGGGAUGAAGGCCUUCGGGUUGUAAACUCCUUUCGACAGGGACGAAGCUUUUGUGACGGUACCUGUAUAAGAAGCACCGGUUAACUACGUGCCAGCAGCCGCGGUAAUACGUAGGGUGCGAGCGUUGUCCGGAAUUACUGGGCGUAAAGAGCUCGUAGGUGGUUUGUCGCGUCGUCUGUGAAAUUCCGGGGCUUAACUCCGGGCGUGCAGGCGAUACGGGCUGACUUGAGUGCUGUAGGGGAGACUGGAAUUCCUGGUGUAGCGGUGAAAUGCGCAGAUAUCAGGAGGAACACCGAUGGCGAAGGCAGGUCUCUGGGCAGUAACUGACGCUGAGGAGCGAAAGCAUGGGUAGCGAACAGG